GACGAACGCUGGCGGCGUGCUUAACACAUGCAAGUCGAACGGAAAGGCCCUGCUUUUGUGGUGUUCCCGAGUGGCGAACGGGGGAGUGACACGUGAGUAACCGGCCCUUGAUUUUGGGAUAACUUCAGGUAACUGGGGCUAAUAUCGUAUAGGAUCUCCUGUUGCAUGGUGGGGGGUGGAAAGUUUCGGCGGUUGGGGAUGGACUCGCGGCUUAUGAGCUUGUUGGUGGGGUAGUGGCUUACCAAGGAUUUGACGGGUAGCCGGCCUGAGAGGGUGACCGGCCACAUUGGGACUGAGAUACGGCCCAGACUCCUACGGGAGGCAGCAGUGGGGAAUAUUGCACAAUGGGCGGAAGCCUGAUGCAGCAACGCCGCGUGCGGGAUGACGGCCUUCGGGUUGUAAACCGCUUUCGCCUGUGACGAAGCGUGAGUGACGGUAAUGGGUAAAGAAGCACCGGCUAACUACGUG
rnacentral:rRNA from 1 species